rnacentral:tRNA from 2 species
GGAGAAAUGGCGGAAUUGGUAGACGUUAGAAAGCUAUGCAGAUACUCGUUGCACUUCACACUGUAAGUGGCCAAUCGGUUGGAACGCUGCAAUCCCGGUUCGAGUCCGGGUUUCUCCA